rnacentral:rRNA from 1 species
CAAGCCUGAUCCAGCCAUGCCGCGUGGGUGAAGAAGGCCUUCGGGUUGUAAAGCCCUUUUGUUGGGAAAGAAAAGCAGCCGGCCAAUACCGGGUUGUUCUGACGGUACCCAAAGAAUAAGCCCCGGCUAACUUCGUGCCAGCGAGCCGCGGUAAUACGAAGGGGGCUAGCGUUGUUCGGAAUUACUGGGCGUAAAGCGCACGUAGGCGGGCAUUUAAGUCAGGGGUGAAAUCCCAGAGCUCAACUCUGGAACUGCCUUUGAUACUGGGUGUCUUGAGUAUGGAAGAGGUAAGUGGAAUUCCGAGUGUAGAGGUGAAAUUCGUAGAUAUUCGGAGGAACACCAGUGGCGAAGGCGGCUUACUGGUCCAUUACUGACGCUGAGGUGCGAAAGCGUGGGGAGCAAACA